rfam:Strongyloides venezuelensis genome assembly, scaffold: SVE_scaffold0000003
GGUCUCAUGGUGUAGUGGUUAGCACUCAGGACUCUGAAUCCUGCGACCCGAGUUCGAAUCUCGGUGGGACCU